rnacentral:rRNA from 1 species
AACGAACGCUGGCGGCAUGCCUAACACAUGCCAGUCGAACGAGACCUUCGGGUCUAGUGGCGCACGGGUGCGUAACGCGUGGGAACCUGCCCUUAGGCUCGGAAUAACUCCCCGAAAGGGGUGCUAAUACCGGAUAAUGUCUUCGGACCAAAGAUUUAUCGUCUUUGGAUGGGCCCGCGUUGGAUUAGCUAGUUGGUAGGGUAAAAGCCUACCAAGGCGACGAUCCGUAGCUGGUCUGAGAGGAUGAUCAGCCACACUGGGACUGAGACACGGCCCAGACUCCUGCGGGAGGCAGCAGUGGGGAAUAUUGGACAAUGGGCGAAAGCCUGAUCCAGCAAUGCCGCGUGAGUGAUGAAGGCCUUAGGGUUGUAAAGCUCUUUUACCCGGGAUGAUAAUGACAGUACCGGGAGAAUAAGCACCGGCUAACUCCGUG